GUGAGUCUUACUGACUUGAGCGUUAUAUAAAUUAUGCGGGACUAUAACGCCUAUUGCACAAGAAGUUAUACUCUAUCAUUCCCACCAUCUUUACGAAGUGAACUUGCAAGACAGCAAUGCUAUUCAAAGUGACAUUGUUGCUAGGUAUCUGUGCCUCGUUGGCAGCAGCAGUACCACCACCACCGAAAGGUUACCCGACUGCUCAAGCAUGUGGUAAAUGUCCCGCAUUUUGGGUUCCAUUUCAAGGAAGUUGCUACCGCGUCUUCGGGAACAGAUUGGAUUGGGCAGACGCAGAGGAGAGUUGUAAAGCACUCUUCAACAAGAAGGCAACUGGCCAUCUAGUCUCUAUCCAAAGUGAAGAUGAAAAUAGGUUUGUUUCACAUCUUUGGGAUUCGUCUACCGGUGGAUCGACUGAUUCCAGUAAUCGAGCUUAUUGGAUUGGAUUGUCAGACAUAGCCGAGGAAGGCACUUACGUAUGGUCUGACAGCGAUACGGUAGCAUCCUAUACAAAUUGGAAACAGGGGGAGCCUAACAACGCAGGAAAUGAAGACUGUGGUCACGUCACGAAGUCGAAUGACGAGAUAUUGCUUUGGAAUGAUACGGAAUGCUAUCAUACACUGUCCUUCGUGUGUGAGCUUCCACAGUAACGUUGCACAAUGUUAAAUAUCCUAUAAUGCACCAGUGCCUAACAACGCUGAAUCGGCUUAAAAAAAAACGCUUUAAGAAAUACAAAAUUUGAACAGUACCGCAAUUUGUAGAUUGCAAGUGCAAUCCAUAUUAAGCUCCAUUUCUAGAAAAAAAAAUGAAAGAAAAAGUAUGCCCAACAUUCUAACUCCUUAAUUCCUAAAGGUAUUUCUAACUUUAAUAAAUAGUUUAUUUAGAUAGUUCACUUCUUCAAUUAGGUCUAUUUCUACAGCAUUGCCUAAUUUGGCCAACAAUUAACCAUGUUUUUCUCGUUUAUGCUAGUUUUAUAAUAUGUCAUAACGGUAGAUCAAAACAUCACCAUUAUUCACUCCAACUAUAUCUGCUUUGUAAUAAUUUAAAUAAACAUGAGCAGCUGUUAAUAUAAUCGCAUUCGUGCCAUAAAGAAACUAUAAGAUUUACAUUACUAUUAGCAUAUCAUAUCAUAGACUGCUUGUUUUUCAUUUCUUUACUGUAUCAACAGCUAAUUUUGAUUAACGAAUUUGUGUUUAGAAAUAAAUUCAGCAUUGCUAAAUCAGAAUCA